UUCAAGUUAAUUUCCGAUGACGUUUUGGAAAUGAUUUCGUGGUCGUGGACACGAGUACGAAGCUUAGAGGAGUGUGGAAUUAGUUCGAACGAUUUUAUUUUGAAAACUGAACGUUUUAGGGGGGUCAAAGGAGUUGACUUUUUAUACAUUGGGAAAUUGGGAAAACUUCCUUCAUGAAAGUUGUAGAGCGCGUCGAUACGAGUUCGUGGACAUAUGGAACGUAAUAUUCGGAGUUCGUAUGAAUAAGUUACGAAUAUUUGAAAAUUGGGAUUUUCUAUAAAUAUGAAAAAAAAAUCCGAAUAUUGCAAAUGAGGACAGAAUUUCUGGAACUCCAGAAAUUUCUCCCCAUUUCUCUCCCGAGCCCAGCCGCGACCCCCUCCCUUCGUCACUUCGUUCUUCCUCAUCCGGCCACCGAUUGAUGUGAAACAAAGUGGGUUUUUCUGGUCUCGACCCCCUUUACGAGUUUGUAGAAGAAAUCGAAGUGAAAUACGAGCUGUAUGAGGCUCUACAAGGUCGAGAAGAGAGCCUCGUCGGAGACGAAAUCGCUCUUCCCCACUUUUUCUGGGCUCUACUUUGUCUGGCCAUAUCUUCCUCUACAGGCCUCCGAUCGACCUGAUUCCAAAAGCAAUUUUUCUCACCGUGAAGUUUUCUACAACUUUCCAGAAGACAUCGACUUGAGAUAACCAUCGUGGUGGCCGCUAGAAGACCGAGAAGCCGCACAGCCGAGCUGGAAAUCGUCUUCCUUCGCCACCUUGGUUCUCCCAGCUCCGGCCACUAUAGCUCGAGUUCUUUGAGGGCUUUUCUAGCCCAGAGGAAGUAGAAGCUAUCCCCAAGAAGGCUUGCAGCGAUUUAAUCCGGGGUGAUCGAAUUUUGAAGAUUGGGAAACUAGGGUUCUUCGGGUUUCAAAACUUGCGAGGUGAUUGACGGUCUCCCUUGGGUGAACGAUUUCGGUGUGUAUUGUGUUGAAUUGAAGACGCAGCGGGAAUAUCGAGGUGAGUAAAUCGCACAUGGUUCAUUCACGAACCGAAAUUCGGUGAUUUUAUUUAAUUGAGAAAUUGUGGAAAUUGUUUUACUAAAAUAAAUAUUUGUUUUAAAUUAUAUGGACUUGAUCGACUACGGUCCAUAGGUAAGUAAAAUGUAUUUAAACUAUAAAAAUGAAUUUCUAGAUUUUAUUGCAUGUGAACUAUAGUUGGUAUUAGUGGUCACUCUUGUGUGGGUGACUACGUAUAUAUAUAUUUACGUGGAAUAUAUAUUGGAUGGUGUGAUUUACUGAGUUA